rnacentral:rRNA from 1 species
GACGGAGGAUGCAAGUGUUAUCCGGAAUCACUGGGCGUAAAGCGUCUGUAGGUGGUUCAAUAAGUCAACUGUUAAAUCUUGAGGCUCAACUUCAAAAUCGCAGUCGAAACUAUUGGACUCGAGUAUAGUAGGGGUAAAGGGAAUUUCCAGUGGAGCGGUGAAAUGCGUAGAGAUUGGAAAGAACACCAAUGGCGAAAGCACUUUACUGGGCUAUUACUGACACUGAGAGACGAAGCUAGGUAGCAAUGGG